rnacentral:rRNA from 1 species
CAGUCGCCACGGUAACACGGAGGGUGCAAGCGUUAAUCGGAAUUACUGGGCGUAAAGCGCACGCAGGCGGUCUGACAAGUCAGAUGUGAAAUCCCCGGGCUUAACCUGGGAACUGCAUUUGAAACUGUCAGGCUGGAGUCUUGUAGAGGGGGGUAGAAUUCCAGGUGUAGCGGUGAAAUGCGUAGAGAUCUGGAGGAAUACCGGUGGCGAAGGCGGCCCCCUGGACAAAGACUGACGCUCAGGUGCGAAAGCGUGGGGAGCAAACAGGAUUAGAUACCCCAGUAGUCCCUGUCUCUUAUAA